AGAGUUCGAUUAUGGCUCAGGAUGAACGCUGGCGGCGUGCUUAACACAUGCAAGUCGAACGAACCUUCGGGUUAGUGGCGGACGGGUGAGUAACGCGUGAGAAUCUGCCCUCAGGAGGGGGAUAACGGUUGGAAACGACCGCUAAUACCCCAUAUGCCUAUUGGUGAAACGAAUUUCGCCUGAGGAUGAGCUCGCGUCUGAUUAGCUAGUUGGUGAGGUAAUGGCUCACCAAGGCUUCGAUCAGUAGCUGGUCUGAGAGGAUGAUCAGCCACACUGGGACUGAGACACGGCCCAGACUCCUACGGGAGGCAGCAGUGGGGAAUAUUGCGCAAUGAGCGAAAGCUUGACGCAGCGACACCGCGUGUGGGAUGACGGAUCUAGGUUUGUAAACCACUUUCAGGAGGGAAGAAAAUGACGGUACCUCCACAAGAAGCCCCGGCCAACUACGUGCCAGCCGCCGCGGUAAUUC
rnacentral:rRNA from 1 species